UAAAAAUACUAAGUUCUAAAGGAGCUCUGUACAAAAGAAGACCGAAGCUCCAUUUUUCUUCUUCCCUCUUCUCGAUUCUCUCUGCAAAAGCUACAUUACUUCUUGAAGUUUCUCAAAUUAAAUCUUUCACUUUUGUUUAAUCACAAGAUGUGAACCUAAUUUGUGAAACCCAAAAGCCCUAACACCACUUGUUUUCUAAGAUUGUAUUCAAAUCAGGAGUAUAAAGUAAUUUUUCCAACAAUAUCAUCGUGUAAAGCCCUUCUCGGUAUUGAUGAUCUCUUUCGCUGGGAGGGUCCAAAUGACAGGAUGAGAUAAAGGUCGAAGUGGAACUGGUCGUGGACGUGUCCAUUUUCAAGGACGUGGUAAUUCUGGAGUGAUGCCUCAGUCACAAGUACAACCAAUAGGGAAUACUACUGCAUCUCCUAAGACAGGAGAAUCAAAUAAUCUCAGUCAAGAACCUCUAGACAGAGGACAAAUAUCAAGUAACCCUUGGCAGAGACCUUCUCUAAAGAUAGUAUCGUCAAGGAAUCUGGAUAGAAGUGCGCUUCCUCUCCUGAAGUUGAAAAUGGUGCAGGUUAGUUUUUGUUUUACUAAUUCUCUUUACUUAUUGCAAAAUAUAAUACUGGUAUAUGUUGGAUUGGUACGUGUUUAUCCCAAAUUGGGAUUAAUUUUACGAGGCAUAUGACAUGUUUGAUAAAAUACCUUAGAGAAAUCUUUGUUUAUAUUCUAUGCAGCUUUGAGAAUGCUAGCUUAUUUUAUGUUAUUGUUGUAAAGAAGUGUCAUCUUAUGUUAAAUUUGGAUUUGUUUCGGACGUUUAUAUUCUGAUGUAAUUCUGAAAUUCUGGAUAUGCAAAAUUUGGUUGGACAAUUUUAGAAAUAGGAGAAAAUUCAGACUCCUAAGUGUUUAUGUUGA